GGAAGUUGUGUUGUUGUUGUGAUGACGGAGUGGAUGUAGCGGCCGGAGAAUUGUCUGUACUGUAACUUUGUUACUCAGUGUUAGAUUAAUAAAUCCUCAAAGAAAGUAAAGCGGACUUUUAUUCACCAACCCCGGGACGAAGGGAAUUAACCCCAAAGUUUACUUAGCCGACAGUACUUUGGCCCUGGAGCAGACAGCAACGCCUCCCCCUGCAAACUCCGACUACGGUCAGAGACGGACCGGCAGGAAAGCGUGCAGCCGGGCGCAGCUAAAUGACACGUAAUGUAUUGUGCGUCUUCAAUGCUUUUCAAUAUGUUAUAUAUUUAUUGCCUUCACAAUGAGCAUGAAUCUAACAUUAAAUGAUAUGAUUAAUAUGCCCCUCAUUCCAAAGAAAUAAUAUACACACGUCAAGCUCAUUAUGGAGUUGAAACCACAAAUUACUAAACUGUAAACAGUUAAUAUAAGAGAAAAAAAUAUUGUAAUCAAGAUAAAUGUUUUCAAAACGUGUGAUUAACUAGUCAAUUGUCUAUAAUCUGUUGACAGCCAUAAUCGUAUUCUGAUAAUACACGUUGGUGCUCAAAUAUUUUCAGAUGGCCCGUGCAAAGUCAUGCCACCAGUCUGAGGACAUCACUGGGAAUGGCACAUGGGACACGUGGCUUUCAACUCCAGCGAGGUGGGCUUCACCGCGGGCAAUCGUGGCAAAGACCCAAGUCGACUGGACCACAGCGGAAAAUGAUCCUUCCAGAGAAGAAGUUAUUUACUUCUACAACGAAUGGAAGAGUUACAACUUCCAGAUGACAGCUCGCCGCUCAUCCUUCUGGGCAACUUGAACAUCCGACAGAACUUAUGUGACCUACUGCGUUUAUUUUCUCCUUUAGCUCUCAUUUAAGUAUUAAAAUUCGCUGUAUUUUUGCAAGAGAGGCACCAAUCCUAUUUGAGUGACGUUUCGAUUGUGAAAUUGUAUUGGACCAUAUAGGUCAUCUGCAGAGCGUUGGCCCCUGGCGCAGUAAACCAGGGUUUGAUUCUUGGCAUGCACAAGACUCCUCAUGUGACUUAAAAUGAAUCCAGAAUGCAAUAUUUGUUCAGUAUGCAAGGGCAGUGAUUUAUUUAGUCAUGUUUGGUCAUGUUUUGGUUUUUUUACAUGACAAUAUGGUUUGGUACAUGCUGAGUUAAUGAAUAUACAUUCUAAAGUGCAAUGUCCAUAUGUGAAUAAGAGUUGUAUACGUUUAUCAUAGUCAACAUGGUGUGGAAAUAUCCCUUAUGUAGUUGGUCAAUGGGAACUAUAGUAGGCCGUAAUAACAGCUAAGGUAAUUACAGGUUGAUAUUUCUGUGAAUUAACCUUAAAUGAGACUGCAUUUAUGAUAUCUAAGAUAUACAGAACAAGAAAAAUGCACUGGAUGUGUAUAUGUGUUGAAUCAAUUAUACAGACGCAAACUGGAGAACGAGACAAGUGUUGCUGUGAUACUUAUUGUGGUCAUCGUGCCCGAGACCCGUAACAAUUACUCCGCAGGUCUUUUGCAGCGGGGCAACAGCCCGGCGUCGGUGGAUUCCGUUCGCGAGGCCGCAGAUUCAGGUUUGAAUGGCAGCCCCGAGAGUGAUUU